rnacentral:lncRNA from 1 species
GUGGAAGCACAGUGCAAGAGAUGCUCGCACGUUUCACGUCAGCCUUUCGGACGUCAUUGAAAUUCCCUACGCACUCCUCGGACCUCCCUUUUUUCAGCAAGGACUUCCACGUUCAUUCAACUAUGGUGGCAUCGGUACUGCAAUUGCUCACGAGUUGGGGCACAGCUUGACCUACUCAGGUAUCAGCACAAGCCUAACCAGGGAAUUCGAAGAGCUCAUAAAAUGUUCAUUGGCAUCGUUUAAGAACAAAACUUCUUGCUUCGAGAAACAAUACAAACCGGUUAACAAAAGACUGCUUCUGGAACUUGACGAGAAUUACAACGAAAGUACGAGUGCUGAAGCAGACGUAAGUA